GACGAACGCUGGCGGCGUGCUUAACACAUGCAAGUCGAACGGAAAGGCCCUGCUUUUGUGGGGUGCUCGAGUGGCGAACGGGUGAGUAACACGUGAGUAACCUGCCCUUGACUUUGGGAUAACUUCAGGAAACUGGGGCUAAUACCGGAUAGGAGCUCCUGCUGCAUGGUGGGGGUUGGAAAGUUUCGGCGGUUGGGGAUGGACUCGCGGCUUAUCAGCUUGUUGGUGGGGUAGUGGCUUACCAAGGCUUUGACGGGUAGCCGGCCUGAGAGGGUGACCGGCGACAGGGAGAGGGGGAGAGCGCCCAGAGGAGGACAGGAGGAAGAAGUGGGGGAGAGGGAGCGGACGACGGACGCCGGAUGCAGCAGCGCGGGGGGCGGGACGACGGCCGGCGGGGUGUAAGCCGCUUUCGCCGGUGGCGAAGGGUGGGGGACGGUAGGGAGAAAAGAAGCCCCGGCAAACGACGUGCCAGCAGAGGAGGUAAUA
rnacentral:rRNA from 1 species